rnacentral:lncRNA from 1 species
GGAUGGGGGCACAGAGCCAAACUACAUCAGUUGGGCACACUGACAAACAUGCUGAGGCUGAGGAGCUUUGUCUCCACAUAAACAGAACUAAAGACAAAAAACACAUGAUUAUCUCAAUAGAUGCAGAAAAGUCUUUUGAUAAAAUUUAACACCCUUUCAUGUUAAAAACUCUUAAUAAACUAGUCAUUGAAGGAACACACCUCAAAAUGAUAAGCGCCAUCUAUAACAAACCCACAACCAUCUUUAGUUGUAACAGCAUCAAUAGUGUUUGUGAUUUUCUCAGUGGCUUAGGGUGCAGUUGUUAGUAGAGGUUGUGGUAAAGUUUUACUCGGGACUGGAAUACCAGAUGGGGCAGUCUUCAGGUACUAGUUGUGGCAGCAGUAAGCUGAAUGUGAUCCAAUGUUUCUGUGUGUUAUCUUCCCACGUGGUCCUGAGUCUCAGAUCAGAGACUUUAUCCUGACAAUAAAACACUGGUAAGCCUAUACCGAUUGCUUUUUUUUGGUACCCAGUGUUGUGCUAGAAACUGGAGCAAGGCAUUCAGAAAGCACUAAAAACCUCUUACAGAUGUUUUACUUUUUGUUAUGUGCAAUUUCUUUGAUUUAUAGUCUAAUUAUCUUCUAUUUCCAUCGGGUCAUUCAUAGCCCUCAUGGCUUAAUUGAUUGAAUAAUUCUGAAUUAAGUAUAAUUUGAGCUUCUGUAUAGGCACUGGCCUGAUUCUCAUAGCAGCUUUUCCGUAUUGCUAUUCUAAUGCAGAAUUUGUGCUUCCACAGUGAUCCACCAACAUUUAAACAAUUUAGGUCUACUUUGGUGACCUGGGUCUUAGUAUAGAUGUAGUAAAAGAGUACUUUGUUUAAAAGGCACAAAUAAAGCCAGUGCUUAUUUAGGUUUGAUAAAUGUGGCUGUGUGUUCUGUGAGUUACAUUUGUUAUAAGGAAUAACAUUCAAAAGAUGCCUUAUUAUUUAUCCAAACUAAAUAACACCGA